rnacentral:lncRNA from 1 species
GCUGCGGCUCCGGCUUGACAACACAGCUCCAGUUUUUACGCAGCGAGGACCCAGGAAACUGUGAGAGGUGCCAGCGCUCUCCUUGGGGAACAUCUCUCAAUACAUCCUUAAGCGCCCGGGGAACCCCACACCAGCCACACGUGUCCCGCCAGCAACACCUACUGAACCAUUCACCUGCCACAGGUCUUGGUCAGUAUCACCUCCUCUCAAGCAGUCGUCAACACCUUCACCUCUCCUGCAGAAGCCACGAUGAAGUUCUUGCUGCUCUCAGCUCUGUUGCUGACGAUUGUUGUUGUGGGAACAACCGCUCACCCUGGGGCUUGAAGGUGAUGACCAACUAGGGACAAGCAAUGGAAGUCAGUGAACCCAGGAGAGUGUAAGAGUACUUGGGUCGACCUGAAGGUGCUAGCCAAGUGGGCUAGUUAAGCUCUGUGGACUUCACUCUUGGAAGGUGCUAGUCAGUGGGGCUAGUUGAGCGCUGUGGACUUCACUCCUGGAGGUACUAGCUAUUGGGGCUAGUUGAGCGUUGUUGACUUCACUAAUUGAGCAUACCGUCAAGUGCGCUACGGAGGGGGAGCCCUUGAAGGCGUCUCCAUGACUGCAGCUAGCAUAAGGGCUAGUGGUACGGUGAAAACCUCGUUAGAGGCAUAUAGUGUCCGUCAUCUGGGAAGCUAGCUGGCGUGAGGGCUAGUGAUGCCGCUCCGGAUGACAUCACAUAGCAACUUAUAUAAAUUAUUAUGGUGAUGGGUAAUAAUAACGGCUAAUUUUAA